GCAGAUAUGCAGAUAUUCAAGCUGGGGCGGACGGAGUGUAUGUGCGUGAGCAGCGAGACGGCGGCUAUGGCUGGCGCGGAAGAGGAUUCAUGACUCCAUUUUCGGAUGAAUAACUUCAUGUUGAAAUGGCAAACGAGAUAACUUGUACAAUGUAUUUGUCAAUGUACUGAGACGAUGAGGUGGAUCAUUGCAAGACGGUGAAGGCCUGUCAAACGCAUGAAACACUCUGUUCUCCUCACUCCGUGCAGAGCCGCAUGGAAGCUGAUCCAGAACGAUCGUGUCGAGAAGUUGCAAAUGAUGAUCGACCGGCUGUACCUCCGUGCUAGAGCAUUGUAGAAUAGCAUGCUAAAUUUUGGUGAUAUAUUGUAUUCCAUCUUGGUUUCAUUUCCUUCUCUUUGUACGUAGACAUUGAUUAGCACAGACUUCUGCUGAUAUAUUGCAUUCCAUCUUCGUUU